ACUUUGACUCCAGAGUUAUAAAGACCAAAACCUCUGGUAGAAAUUCUGGGUUUUUGAUUAUUUCAUUUGCAAUGAAACCAUGUCUUCCUGAAGAUUUUAUCAUGUUUACUGCAUUUAUUUACAACCUGAGAAGUCACAUUUAACAUUAAACUAAAGCCAUGUGGGAGUAUUAAUUUGGUGUGAUCAGUCCUUUAUGGAAAAAUACAAUGAGACACAAUUAAUGUGAUACCACAGCUGGAUUUAGUAUAGAACAUAAAAAUAUUUCCAAAACUAGUAUGAAGACGUGUUUAACAACAGAAGUGAUGAUAAAGUUCAUGAUGUAGAUCCCAUACAUGCUGUAGCUGAUUUGUAAACCAAGAAAACUGUUGAGUGAAACUCCUCCUCCUCCACUUCUCCUCUCCUCAGUGUCUUUAUAAGCUUCAGUCUCUCUUCUCCUCACACUCCAACCCUGCUCACCUCUCAGCUGGACAGUAAGGGACGUUUACACCACACACUGACAACAUGCUGGGGACCCUCUGCACUCUCAUCACUGCUCUAACAUGUGUGAGUGGUGUGACGGUGGUGACACAGAAGCCUCCUGUUGUGACGCUGAGGAAAGGAGAGACAGCCACCAUGGACUGUAACCUGGGGACUGUUACUAAUGCUGCUCGCUGGUAUAAACAGAUUCCAGGAGGAGUUCCUCAGUUUGUGUUGAAGUUUCGCCAUGACUAUAGCUCCCCAACCUAUGGCUCUGGUUUCUCCUCUCCCAAAUUCACAUCUACUCAUCAGUCAACAUCAGAUUAUCGUUUGAUCAUCAACAAUAUGGAGGAGGGAGACUCAGCAGUCUAUUACUGUAACACAUGGGACAGCUCUGCUAUGUCUUUAUAAGCUUCAGUCUCUCUUCUCCUCACACUCCAACCCUGCUCACCUCUCAGCUGGACAGUAAGGGACGUUUACACCACACACUGACAACAUGCUGGGGACCCUCUGCACUCU